GGUGGUCCUAGGUUCUAUAAGAAAGUGGGCUGAGCAAGCACCAGGGAACAAACCAGUGAGCAGCACCCUUCCAUGGCCUCCUCAUCAGCUCCUGCCUCCAGGUUCCUGCCCUGUGUGAGUUCUACCCUUUGAUGAUGAACUGUGAUAUGGAACUGUCAGUGAAACAAACCCUUUCCUCCCCGCGUAGCUUGUGGUCAUGGUGUUUCAUCACAGCACAGAGAUAAAAUAAGCCCAACUGCAGCAGAAACCUUUCAUGACGUUGAACCUGUGAUGUGUGGGAUCCAGUUAACCCCACAGUUGCCUUCAGGCCUCCUUCCUGUUGUCCUGAAUCUUCAGCAGCCACACUUGCCUUGGCCCCAACUGUCCCUGCCUAUCCUUCCUUGGAACCCUGUAAGUUUCCACACCUUUCAUGUUGUGCACUACUAAGUAAUUCACUAUAAACUUGGUUAAACACAAUCAACAAAACCCAAACCAUAGCCUGAACGCUGGGCCACCCUCUAUGCUGCUUUGCCAGAUUAAUCAUUCCACUACCUUUCAACUCAAAGGCUCCAACCAUUCCAAGACACCAGCAAAAUGUAGACAAAUUCUUUUCCAGAAUCUAACACUAAUGGCCUCUAAAUACAAUUCUUAAUCAAGUUUUCAUUUCUAUCUGAAACCUCACAAACAUAGACAUUGCAUUUUGGUCUUCUUAACUCCCACCAUAAUAAACCAUGAAAUUGAGUGUACAG
rnacentral:lncRNA from 1 species